GGUUCGACAACAAAAUACGAAGCUUACUCAAUUCUACCAUUAUUUCACGGGACUCUUCCUGUUCUUCCUAUUCUCCCUGUUCUUGCCAUCAGCACCGUCGUUUAAGUGCCAUUUCCGAGAGGGAUGUCUAUAUCGUCUUCUCGCUAGACUAUGCAAAUCUGCUCUGUGGUGCCGGAAGAAGACAGGAUGACUCAGUGUUCUCUCAAUUUUCGUUCGUAUUUUGAUGAUUCCUACAAGCAUGAAACCUUGAAACAGGAAAAUGUCGACUACUCCAUCUCCUAACAGGCUGGUGGUAAGCCUGAGUAACUCAGUAAGCAAUUGGAAUUUUUUAAUUAUGCAAAAAAGUUAAGAUCUUUAGGUCUCCUUAAUACUUAUUUGAUUGCUUUCAUACAGUUUUAGAUCUUUUUAUUUCAUGUUUUUGUCAAAUUAGCAGAUUAGUGAUGUUAAGUCUUCCUUCAAGGGUUUUCUAAAAGAACUAAGCCAAGUUUGUUAUUUUGGGGUUUCUCCAGUUAUUGCUAAGUGACUAUUUCUGAAGUUAGGAUUUGUGUACCUAUUGCAGAUUGCAAUUUAUUGAAUAUUCUAUAAUAUAUGUAACUAUUCUGUUCUAUGCCCUUAUACGCUGCCCAUUGAUUGGUUCAGUUUUCCUGAUUUACUAUCUUGGCGUUGGGUCUUUAAAACUAUGGUUAAAGGAUAUUUGCUUUUGUUAUCCCUUUCCAAAUCUUAGCCUACUUUCUCCAUGACUUUUGAUUGAACUACAGAAGGAUAACUAUUAACAACAUUUUUCCCUCAACUUAAACAUAUAAUAGUACAAAACUCUCACUAUACAAUGUUUGUGGUCAAGAAUGAUUCGCCAAAUAGUUCAAUUUGAUAAGGCUGAUCAGAAAAAAAAAAAAGGGGGGGGGGUUAAAGGACUGUAUUUACAUGAUCUAGAAUAAACUUUAAGAAGGUUGUGAUUCUACUUCUUCCUACAAAUUAAUAUCCUUCAGGUUAUCCUAAACACUUUCGUAUAUGCCCACGCCAUCAGGAACAAAUUACAGAGAAUAAGACUUUCUAGACCGUCUUGUUUUCCAGGAAAUAAAUUGGAUAAAUACAAAGAAGUAGAUAUGAACUUCUAAUAUUACCUAAAAGUUUUGGAUGGAUAAUUUUGCAGGUUCUGCUAGAAUUAAGAGAAAGAAAACUGUCAUACCUGCAAUUUGACUAGCAAUGGUCACAGUAACUGACUAAUGAUCCAUCUUGUGUGGAUCUAAAUUCUGCUUCUGCAAGUAUGCAACUGCUAUCACCACUAUUGUGCAUACAUAGUUUGAACAAAACACAAUGGGUUGAACCCACAGAAUCGUUCCAAGAUAUGCCUCUAUACAGAGUAGUAUUUCUCAUAAUCGUCUUUCUCAUCUUCAAGCCCAUAAUUUAGUAGCCUUUGACCUGUUUGGCUCUGCAUCCGGAAUUGAUCCUUCUAUGCAACAAUUGUUUGGAACUAGAGCAUUUGGAUUUUGGAGCAACCUCAUUAGAAUCAUUAAUUGCAACUUCUUUUUGAUGUUCAAAGUCUCUCGGCGGUAAAAUCUUGAAUAUAGCUCUAUUAUUUAGUUCCUUUUUACCAACUGCUGUUUUUGAAGUCAGUAUUUUUGUGCUUUGUAUUGGCAAUGUAAGAUUUCAUGCAUCAAAUUGUGAAGCCUUAAUUGGAGAACCCAAAAGGUAUUUAUGCUUUCUUGAGUUAUUUUCCUUUUCUGGAUUUUGACAAUAUAGCCAAAAUAUUCUUUCCUUUAAAAAGAGCUGCACAAUAUCUGGCUGAGUUAUAUUACACAUUGUUGCAGCGAAAUACUUCAGUUGUGAUUAUCUAUACUUACCAAAUUGAGUUAUCAAAAGUAAACAAGAAAGAAGUCUAUAGGGGGUCUUUUUUCUUUGUUCUUAUUGCUGGGGAGUUCUUUUGGUUGCUUAAAAAUUUGGCAAGAAAAUUUGGCCCCGAUAAAGUUACCACUAAAUUUGAGCAGAGGCCUCCAUCGUAUCCCCGAUUUGAAUAUGUUCUUUUGGUUAACUACAUCCGUGUCUCGGGAAAGUUUUUGUAUGAGAGACGUAUUGACUGUGAGCUUUAGUAAUGAGAUUCAGUCCCACAAUGGUGAUUAUUGCUUGAGUUUCUACCAGAGUAAUGCGACACAUGUUUUCCCAAAUGAAGGAUAAAUCUUUAUUUUAUUUUGAUAAUGAGUUUUGAGUUUUAAGAUGCUCACAAUUUAGUACCAAGAAACAGAAAACAUAUUCUUGGAAAUUCCUAAUCCAGAUAGGCCAACAUAGAGAUGGGACAUAUUAGAGCCACAUUCUAGGUGUUAGAGAUUGGAAUUUUAACUAUACUAUCUAUUUAUCUUCCUCUCUUUUUUUCCUGUUUUUAUUCUAUAUUCACCCUUCUGUAGUAUAAUAACUAUCAAGUGUAGUUUCUAUGUUGAAUCUGUUGAGGAGAUAUUGAAAAAGAUUUUGGGAUAAUGCAUCACCUUUAUUUGAUGUCUGCCAUCUAUUUGUCUUCUUUUUCUUUGUGAUCUACCUUUGUAACUUGCUUUAUUAUCUUCUCUUUUUUCCUUUUUGCAUUACUUUAUUAGUAAAUUAGCAUGUUUUUACUGAUUCUGAUUCUGGUUCUGGAUGCUCCCUUUCUCCUAGGAAUUGAAUUUAGUGAAAAGGUAUGAAAGCAAAAUCCAAGAAAUAGGAGUAAAAUUGCUUAAUUUUCAUAACUUCAAUAGUUAAAAAGCACGAUGAACCUGUUCAUUAUUUGGGGUUUGACUAUGUAACUUCAUUCAUAGGAUUUCAACUUCACCGUCAAGUCAGCAAAUGGAUUCAUGUUAGGGCACUUAAUUCCUAACUCUAUCUUGGUCAAUACUGGUGACCUUCUUGAUGUAAAUCCCUUUGUUUAAUUAGUGUUCAAAAUCUAAGUAAAUGAGUCAACAUUUGUUUAUGUAUCUUUAUAUGCAGUGGAAGAUUUUCGAUGUGUAUAUGCAAGACAUUGUACCUUAGAGCUAUGGUGAACACAAUUAAGGAUAUCAAUAGCUGCUACACUCAUGGUCUGUCACUUGAAACAAUUUGUCCCUCAUUUGUAUAAAGUGACAACAACCAUCCAAUUUAUAAC